rnacentral:snRNA from 1 species
CACAUUAUGUGAUGCAAAAAUU